ACUGCGCAAUGGGCGUAAGCCUGACGCAGCAACGCCGCGUGCGGGAUGAAGGCCUUCGGGUUGUAAACCGCUUUCAGCAGGGACGAAAAUGACGGUACCUGCAGAAGAAGCCCCGGCCAACUACGUGCCAGCAGCCGCGGUAACACGUAGGGGGCGAGCGUUGUCCGGAUUUAUUGGGCGUAAAGAGCUCGUAGGCGGUUUCGUAAGUCGGGUGUGAAAACUCCAGGCUCAACCUGGAGACGCCACCCGAGACUGCGAUAACUAGAGUCCGGUAGGGGAGUGUGGAAUUCCUGGUGUAGCGGUGAAAUGCGCAGAUAUCAGGAGGAACACCAACGGCGAAGGCAGCACUCUGGGCCGGAACUGACGCUGAGGAGCGAAAGCGUGGGUAGCGAACAGGAUUAGAUACCCUGGUAGUCCACGCCGUAAACGUUGGGCACUAGGUGUGGGAUCUUUCCAACGGAUUCCGUGCCGUAGCUAACGCAUUAAGUGCCCCGCCUGGGGAGUACGGCCGCAAGGCUA
rnacentral:rRNA from 1 species